AAGGAACUUCAUGUUGGGGAAGAUGUGGCAGAGUAGAAGUGCUUACUUCCUGACAGAUGCUCAGUAGUCCUGACUAGGAGCUUUUGGCAGUUGAUGAAGGCAGUUACGGAAGAAGUCAUUUUUCUCCAUUGGUGAAGCUACUGGUCAGUUGCCUACGCUCUAGCAAAUAAUCCCACACCCGAGCUCAUGGAAACAACACUGAUAAAAUUGGUUGAAGCCUUCCAAGUCCCUCUGUGAGGGCGCAUCAUCACCUUUUCCAAGGACACCACCCACUUCCUGACUUCUAUUUCGUUUUGACUCCUCUCCACCCAUCUCCAUUCUAAAUGUUGUGUUUGGUACUUAUUGUUAUUGAUGAAAACAGUGGGCGAGCUGAUGAUUUGUUCGUAGGUCAUUUAGAAACUGAUCUACAGGAAGAACAACCCACAAACCACAAGAAACUCAAGAAGUAGGAAGA